CACCGGCUAACUCCGUGCCAGCAGCCGCGGUAAUACGGAGGGUGCAAGCGUUAAUCGGAAUUACUGGGCGUAAAGCGUGCGUAGGUGGUUGAUUAAGUUAUCUGUGAAAUCCCUGGGCUUAACCUGGGCAGGUCAGAUGAUACUGGUUGACUCGAGUAUGGGAGAGGGUAGUGGAAUUUCCGGUGUAGCGGUGAAAUGCGUAGAGAUCGGAAGGAACACCAGUGGCGAAGGCGGCUACCUGGCCUAAUACUGACACUGAGGCACGAAAGCGUGGGGAGCAAACAGGAU
rnacentral:rRNA from 2 species